GGGGCAUCACGGAACCUGCCGACAUGUGAUGUCUCCCCCGGACACCCAGCUUUAAAAUUUCUCUCUUGUACUCUUUCCCUUUAUUUCUAGACCGGCCAACACUUAGAGAAAUAGAAAAGAACCUAUGUGAAAUAUCGGGGGCUGGUUUCCCCUGAUAGUGAAGGAGACAGGUUAGAUACACUGGAGCUUCCACACAGGAGAGAGGGAAGGAGCUGGAGAAGAAGACAGGAGCCACAGAUUUUGGAGUACUGCAAAAUGACUUUCCAAAUUGAUGAACCAUGGACUCCAAGCUGGAUAGACACAGAAAUGAAAAGAAGGGACUAAUAGGGAAUAAGACGUGUGAUCCAUGGCCCGAUGGCCCUGAUGGACGUGAAGAUCCACUGUUGUGGGAGGAGUGGAACACUAACACUGAAUGAUGGAGGCUGUGGUCAGAAACAGGUAAGUGAUGGAGGCUGUGGUCAGAAACAGGUCAAUGAUGGAGGCUGUGGUCAGAAACAGGUCAAUGAUGGAGGCUGUGGUCAGAAACAGGUCAGUGAUGGAGGCUGUGGUCAGAAACAGGUCAGUGAUGGAGGCUGUGGUCAGAAACAGGUCAGUGAUGGAGGCUGUGGACAGAAACAGGUCAGUGAUGGAGGCUGUGGUCAGAAACAGGUCAGUGAUGGAGGCUGUGGUCAGAAACAGGUCAGUGAUGGAGGCCGUGGUCAGAAACAGGUUGAAUUGGAGGGGCACACAUUUGGUCAUGAAAAUGGUGGGACUAAGAAGAAUGAAGUGGCAUGCAAGAGACCAUUAUAGAAAUGAUGUGGAACUCAGGGUGAGGAUGUUGGGUGUGUGCUCUUCUGUAUGGACAUUGACUUUAUGCUAAAAUGAGAUUCACUAUGUGGGAACAGUAAUAAAAUAAUGUGGCUGGGCGUGGUGGCUCACACCUGUAAUCCCAACACUUUGGGAGGCUGAGGCGGGCGGAUAGCAAGGUCAGAGUUUGAGACCAGCCUGGCCAACAUGGUGAAACACAUCUGUACUAAAAAUACAAAAAUUAGCCGGGCAUGGUGGUGGGCACCUGUAAUCACAGCUACUGGAGAGGCUGAGGCAGGAGAAUUGCUUGAAUCCGGGAAGUAGAGGUUGCAGUGAGCCAAGACCAUGCCUUUGCACUCCAGCCUGGGCGACAGAGCGAGACUCUGUCUCAAAAAAAAAGAUAAGGUGACAAUCCAUCAUUCAUUUUUGCCAGAUUUUUUAAAGCUAUCACCCAUUAUUCAUAACAAGAAAGACAUUUUAACUCCCACCUCCUCAUUUCCCUCUCAACCCCAAAAUAAGUAGGGACAUAAUCCCAGAUUAAAGGAUAAUACUUCCAAGGAAAGGCUUGUCACACAUGCACACACACACAUUCCUCAGGAUCUAACAUUUUGCAAGUUGAAACCGCAUUCGGGAAGCAAUACUCUAAUCCACUAAAAUAAAAUUUCACUUAACACUUGAAAUAAACUUGAACUCAAAAAAUUUCUCUCCUUGGUGAGACUCAGGCAGUGAGAAGCAGCUGUGACUAGAAAUGGCACUGAUCUGUCCGUUAGAAACUUUUUAAUAAAACAUGCUUGUUGUGCCCUUUAUUAUGUCAUCAUUAUCAGUAAGAUGUCAGAACUUUCCAUAGAUUAAAUAAAUACUCCAAUUUAAGUCAUUUCUUUUCAGAUUUGUCUGAAUUUCAGUUGAUCCAGAGCAAGAAAAAGUAAGUGUUCACAUGUGAAAGUCUGUGGGUCCAUUGCAUAGACAAUUAAGAAAUAAUAGAUAACAGAUUCAAGUCAAAUGCAGUACGCAUGUGGGUGUGUGGCCUAGGAUAUUUGGAUUCCAGCCUGUUAAGCCACUGAUAAAGUGAUCUUGGCCAAAUUACAACUUCUGUUGUCUACAUUUGAAGACUCAGGCCC
rnacentral:lncRNA from 1 species